GUUCCCGUUCACUUGUCAUUGUAAUGAAGCAUCUGCUUACAAUUUUUUCCUUUUCCCCUGUAAGUUCAUUUCCCCCCCAACUCACCCACUGCGUGAUCUGGCUCCCAAACCUCGCCCUGCCACCUUUCUGGCUGCUAUAUCGUCUUUUCCUUGUGGCUACAUCACUAGGCGCCUGAGCAAAGAGCUCAUUAACAAACUGGUGCGGUAACUUGCACACCGCAAUCCCUCUACUGCUCCUGGAGGCGGCUUUUGACUGGGUGCUCUAAUGCAGUGAAGCUCAGGCAGCAGGCAGGAGCGGCUGAGAACUCUGCAAGAGCCGCAGCCCCAGCAGCAGCAGCAGCAGCAGCAACAGCCACCGGGAGACCCAGCCCAGAGCCAUGCAUAGCAGGGCUUGGCAGAGGCAAAGGUUGGCUGCAAAGUUUGGGACCACACCUUCGAUGAUGAAGGCAAUUGGGAAGCAUAAUCCACCCAGGGACUCCUCAGGGAAAUACAGUGAUGCCUCAGCACAUUUCCUCAAGGCCAGAGACUACUUGAAGCCAAGAAGCUACACUCUACCUAACUACUUAGGAGUCCUCAGCUUUAAUCACCACGGCUAAGUUCACACUUAAGCAAUUAACCAUAUGAUUGCUUCAGUAUGAAUGAGCUUACACCUCAUCAGUGUCUUUCCUUCAGGCACUGACAAGACAACAUAGUCUGUGCCUCGGGGAUUUAUCCGUUUGUCUGAAAGGUACAAGUCUCUCAAUGUAAAGGCUCAUAAAAAAGAUAUUGUGUAUCUUCAUUUAUUCCCCAGUGUUAUUUCCAAACAUUUCACAGCCCUGCCCCCUCCUCACACCCCUCCAUCAGUGGUUGGC